GACGAACGCUGGCGGCGUGCUUAACACAUGCAAGUCGAGCGGUAAGGCUCCUUCGGGAGUACACGAGCGGCGAACGGGUGAGUAACACGUGAGCAAUCUGCCCUUCACUUUGGGAUAACUCCGGGAAACCGGUGCUAAUACCGAAUGCGACCACUUCAGGCAUCUGACGGUGGUGGAAAGUUCCGGCGGUGAAGGAUGAGCUCGCGGCCUAUCAGCUUGUUGGUGAGGUAAUGGCUCACCAAGGCUUCGACGGGUAGCCGGCCUGAGAGGGUGACCGGCCACACUGGGACUGAGACACGGCCCAGACUCCUACGGGAGGCAGCAGUGGGGAAUAUUGGACAAUGGGCGAAAGCCUGAUCCAGCAACGCCGCGUGAGGGAUGACGGCCUCGGUUGUAACGUCUUCUAGCAGGACGAAG
rnacentral:rRNA from 1 species